rnacentral:piRNA from 1 species
UCAUUAGGAUAUGAAUUUAAAGGUCCAC